rnacentral:lncRNA from 1 species
AAAUUAUAUAGCCAACUAUCAAUUGUCUGUGCUAAUGGAGGGGACCAGUGAUGUGGAUAAUCAAAAUAUAAUUUACAUGUAGCUUUGGAAAAUGUUUGUAGUACUGUAUAGCUCUGUAUAGCCACAUCAGUCUAGACUGUACAGGAUCCAAAUAGGAGACUGUGUAGGUAGGUAGUUAACAGAUGUCUGAGGAUGCCUCCCCUUCAGUUUCAGAAAUUCAGCUGUACAGAUGUUAAUAAAUAGCUUCUUCAUGUGAAAGAUACUCUAAGGUAAAUGUGACUGCUCCCUUCUCUAAUUCCUCUCGCUCUUUAACUGGGGAGGGAGGGAUGAUCAUAAGCAGCUUGGUAUGAGGCAAACUGAUAGGAAAUGGUGGUCAUUGUAUAAGGAGAUCACUCCAGGAUCAAUGGGGUGCUGGUAGUAUGAGAGCACUAAUACCUUUUUGUAAUCGUGAUUUGC